UACGGAGGGUGCAAGCGUCAUCCGGAUUUACUGGGUUUAAAGGGUGCGUAGGUGGGUUGGUAAGUCAGUGGUGAAAUACUUUCGCUUAACGAAGGAACUGCCAUUGAUACUACCAGUCUUGAAUACAGUGGAGGUAGGCGGAAUGCGUCAUGUAGCGGUGAAAUGCUUAGAUAUGACGCAGAACACCAAUUGCGAAGGCAGCUUGCUACACUGUUAUUGACACUGAGGCACGAAAGCGUGGGGAUCAAACAGG
rnacentral:rRNA from 1 species